UGCAUCAUCUCGAACUCGUCG
rnacentral:miRNA from 1 species